rnacentral:rRNA from 1 species
UUCAGACGAUGCGUCAUGCAUAUCAAUAAGCGGAGGAAAAGAAACUAACAAGGAUUCCCCUAGUAACGGCGAGUGAAGCGGGAAGAGCUCAAAUUUGAAAUCUUAAAGGGUUUCCCUUUACGAAUUGUAGUUUAAAGAAGUGUUUUCUGUUGAGGUUUUGGUAAAAGUUCUUUGGAAUAGGACAUCAUAGAGGGUGAGAAUCCCGUAUUUGACCUUUACUUUCAACUUUGUGAUACACUUUCAAAGAGUCGGAUUGUUUGGGAAUGCAGUCCAAAAUGGGUGGUAAAUUUCAUCUAAAGCUAAAUAUUGGCGAGAGACCGAUAGCGAACAAGUACCGUGAGGGAAAGAUGAAAAGAACUUUGAAAAGAGAGUUAAACAGUACGUGAAGUUGUCAAAAGGGAAGCGUUUGACACCAGUGUUGUUUUUCUGAAAAUCAAUUAAAGAACUGUUUAUGCUAAGCUGUUUAGACUUUAUCAGCUAUCUGUUUAGUUUUGAGCUUUUCUUUAAUGCACUUUUCAGUUAACAAGUCAACAUCAAUUUCUUUUGCUGUAAAAAAGCCUGAGGAAGGUGGCUUGAGAUUCGUCUUAAGUGUUUAUAGCCUCUUGCCUAUGCAGUCGGAGAGAUUGAGGUCUGCAGGCGUAGAUCCUUCGGGGCUAAAUGCAUUUGUGCUAAGUUAUAGCAUUUUAUAGACAACUUGUUGACUAUGAUUUGUCUUGUAGCUUACUCGCUUAUGUUAUUUUACCUACGCUUAGGAUGUUGACACACGCGCGUGCUCG